GAUGAACGCUGGCGGCGUGCCUAAUACAUGCAAGUCGAGCGAACAGACGAGGAGCUUGCUCCGCUGACGUUAGCGGCGGGCGUGUGAGUAACACGUGUAUAACCUACCUAUAAGACGGGGAUAACUUCGGGAAACCGGAGCUAAUAGCAGAGAAUAUAUUGAAGCACGUUGUGCGAUGGUGAGAUACGGUGUUGGUGUAUGUUCUAGAGGGUUACGGGCUGGAUGAGCUAGUUGGUACGGUAAAGGGUUACCAAGGCAACGAUGCGUAGCCGACCGGACAGGGGGAUCGGCCACACUGGAGCUGAGACACGGUCCAGAGUCCUACGGGAGGCCGCAGUAGGGAAUGUUACGCAAUGGGCGGAAGCAUGACGGAGCAACGCCGCGUGAGUGAUGAAGGUCUUCGGAUCGUAAAACUCUGUUACGAGUGAAGAACAAAUGUGUAAGGAACCGUGCACGUAUUGACGGUAACGAAUAAGAAAGCAACGGCUAACUACGUG
rnacentral:rRNA from 1 species